AAGCCAGUCGGAAAUGAGCUUAUUCAUAAAAGUGCAGUACGAGCCGGUGAGCCUGUCGUUUUAUGUAUAAGCUCGUCUCUGAUGGAAACCUGCCGCG
rnacentral:pre_miRNA from 1 species